CGGACGGGUGAGUAACGCGUGGGUAACCUGCCUCAUACAGGGGGAUAACAGUUAGAAAUGGCUGCUAAUACCGCAUAAGACCACAGUACUGCAUGGUACAGUGGUAAAAACUCCGGUGGUAUGAGAUGGACCCGCGUCUGAUUAGGUAGUUGGUGAGGUAACAGCCUACCAAGCCGACGAUCAGUAGCCGACCUGAGAGGGUGACCGGCCACAUUGGGACUGAGACACGGCCCAA
rnacentral:rRNA from 1 species